GAUGAACGCUGGCGGCGUGCCUAAUACAUGCAAGUCGAGCGAACAGACGAGGAGCUUGCUCCUCUGAUGUUAGCGGCGGACGGGUGAGUAACACGUGGAUAACCUACCUAUAAGACUGGGAUAACUUCGGGAAACCGGAGCUAAUACCGGAUAACAUGUUGAACCGCAUGGUUCAACAGUGAAAGACGGUUUUGCUGUCACUUAUAGAUGGAUCCGCGCCGCAUUAGCUAGUUGGUAAGGUAACGGCUUACCAAGGCAACGAUGCGUAGCCGACCUGAGAGGGUGAUCAGCCACACUGGAACUGAGACACGGUCCAGACUCCUACGGGAGGCAGCAGUAGGGAAUCUUCCGCAAUGGGCGAAAGCCUGACGGAGCAACGCCGCGUGAGUGAAGAAGGUCUUCGGAUCGUAAAACUCUGUUAUUAGGGAAGAACAAAUGUGUAAGUAACUAUGCACGUCUUGACGGUACCUAAUCAGAAAGCCACGGCUAACUACGUG
rnacentral:rRNA from 1 species